UUUCCGUAGGUGAACCUGCGGAGGGAUCAUUACAGAGUUCAUGCCCUACCGGGUAGAUCUCCCACCCUAUGUUAUUAUUACUUUGUUGCUUUGGCGGGCCGUUAGGCUCCGGCCCGACUACCGGCCCCGGCUGGUAAGCGCCCGCCAGAGGACCCAAAACCCUGAAUAUUAGUGUCGUCUGAGUACUAUAUAGUAGUUAAAACUUUCAACAACGGAUCUCUUGGUUCUC
rnacentral:misc_RNA from 1 species